UACGGAGGGUGCAAGCGUUAUCCGGAUUCACUGGGUUUAAAGGGUGCGUAGGUGGGCAAGUAAGUCAGUGGUGAAAUCUCCGGGCUUAACCCGGGAACUGCCAUUGAUACUAUUUGUCUUGAAUACUGUGGAGGUCAGCGGAAUAUGUCAUGUAGCGGUGAAAUGCUUAGAUAUGACAUAGAACACCAAUCGCGAAGGCAGCUGGCUACACAAAUAUUGACACUGAGGCACGAAAGCGUGGGGAUCAAACAGG
rnacentral:rRNA from 1 species